GGCUGAAUCGAGUGUCGGAGCAUGAAUUCUUAGCGCUGGCCGCCGCAAGACAGGGUAGAGGGAGCGGCGGCACAGAGCUCGCGGAUCUAGUGUGGCUGCACAGGCCAAGGUAUAGAACUGGACAGGCGAAAGAGAAGCAGCGGCGCCUCCAGCCGCAGCGCUGCUGCCAGUUAAAGGACUGCCUCUCCCGGAUCGCCGCAGUCUGCUCCU
ensembl:misc_RNA